GGUCUUCAAGCAACAACUGGAUGCCCCAAGUUCAAGGGAGGCAUAGCGACAGGAGUGGGAUUGCACUGCCUUCCCAGCGCUGCUGUUUCCAUGGCUCCUUUAGAAGUCUGCUGAUUCCCUUCCUCUUCUGCAGAGAGACUGUUCCGGCCAGCGUUAAGCUCAGGCUCACUCCUCCCCUGAACCAGCCCAUUUGGUGUCAGGCCCAUCCCGGUCUGAGGUCAAGGCCACAGGUCCAUCAUUCUCUCCCAGGAUCAGGGAGCUGAGAGCAAUUCCAGGGACACCUGGGUGGCUCUGUCAGUUAAGCGUCCGACUUCACCUCAAGUCA